GGAAUGUGAUAUAUCACAAAAUUUUGGCUUUCCGUUAUAGAUUGGAUAAACAUUUAUGGCAUUCUCUUGCCUUUUAGUGCAAAAGAAGUAAUUUAGGUGUAUCUGAGGAUUUUCUUAACAGUAAAACAGUUAAUAACAUUUUGUUGUAACUAAAAUUUUUCAUAUACAAAUGUACAUGUAAGCACACAUCCCCCCAAAAAUAUGGUGGGGUAGAAUAUUUAAAAUAUUGUAUCAAUAUAGAAAAAUACUCUGUACGUUUCCUAACCCCUGUACACAAAGUAAAAGGGGAUCAGAAAUGGCAUUUGUUAGAAGCAGCU
rnacentral:lncRNA from 1 species